rnacentral:lncRNA from 1 species
UCAGCCUUCACCUCAUUCUUGAUCUUUAAUCUCCCAUUCCAAUUGCUUAUUGGCCAUCUCAAAUUAGAUGAUUGGACAUCUCAAAUUGAAAGAUACCUCAAGCUCAAUAAUAUGUAUGUAACAAUGAUCAACAUCAUAAUAGCUAGAAUUUACACAGCUCUCUAAGAUUUGUUCAUCAUUUAACAUGCUCAAAGAAUAGCUCAUCCUUCUUUCCUAGCAAUCCUCUCUCCCCUCUUUCCAAUAUCCUGGUUUACUUUGAUCUCAGCAUUAUCAUUCCGGUUAGCAAGGCCCGAGGUCUUUAUAUCACUUACAAGCCAUUGAAUGAAGUGAAAUAUGAGAUAUGAUGGAGGAAAAACCUGUGGUCUAUCAGAACAGCUCCAUUUGAUUCUCCACAUCACUAAAAACUAAUUGUGUAAAAUGAUACAAGUUUCUUUGCCUUUUAGGCUCAGAUUCACAUCUGUAACAGGGAUGAAAAAAACUGGAGAAUAUAGUCAAUGGACAACCAUCAGUCAUAUAUGGAAACUCAUAGAAAACAGAAGAGGUACUUCUGGACUAGAGAAGUGCAGACGUCCCAUUUCUUUUAAAUGAAGUAAAUAGAAUCUUAAGAAGGAAUCACUGAAGCUGAGCAUGGUGCUCUGCACAUGUAAUCCUUUCUCCUAUGGAAACUAAAGGAGGUGAAUAACUACCUCAGGAGUUCUGAGCUUCGGUAAGCUAUAUUUAUUAAGAGUUCACACUAAUUCCAGCACCAUUUUGGUAGGCACUCUGGAAGGGGAUGGGGUGGAACAUCAGGCCACUUAAGUAGAAUCAAGGCAGCCCAGGUUGGAAACAAAGCAUAUCAAAGCUCCCAUGCUG